UACGAACCGUACAAACGUUAUUCGGAAUCACUGGGCUUAAAGGGUGCGUAGGCGGCCAUGUAAGUGAGGUGUGAAAUCCCUCGGCUCAACCGAGGAACUGCGCUUCAUACUGCAUGGCUUGAGGGAGACAGGGGUAAGCGGAACUGAUGGUGGAGCGGUGAAAUGCGUUGAUAUCAUCAGGAACACCGGUGGCGAAGGCGGUCGACUGGGCCAGUACUGACGCUGAGGCGCGACAGCGUGGGGAGCAAACAGG
rnacentral:rRNA from 1 species